rnacentral:rRNA from 1 species
GACGAACGCUGGCGGCGUGGAUUAGGCAUGCAAGUCGAACGGUAUCAUCCUUUCGGGGGUGAGAGAGUGGCGAACUGGUGAGUAACACGUAGGUUAUCUACCCUCAAGACGGGGACAACCCAGGGAAACUUGGGCUAAUACCGGAUGUGAGCAACUUUUAGUUGUUUGAAAGGUGGCGUAAGCUGUCGCUUGGGGAUGAGCCUGCGUCCUAUUAGUUAGUUGGUGAGGUAACGGCUCACCUAGGCAAUGAUAGGUAGGCGGCCUUAACGGGUGGUCGCCCACACUGGGAUUGAGAUACGGCCCAGACUCCUACGGGAGGCAGCAGUCGAGAAUAGUCUACAAUGGUCGGAAGACUGAUAGUGCGACGCCGCGUGAACGAUGAAUCCCUUCGGGGUGUAAAGUUCUUUUAUAUGUGAGCAGUGCUUCUUAUAUUAACAGUAUGGGGAGAGAGAUAUUAGCAUAUGAAUAAGCAACGGCUAACUCCGUGCCAGCAGCCGCGGUAAUCGUC